AUGGCAUGGUUAUAUUUGUUGUCCUGCCUGGUAAGGACACUGAUGUUGACUAUAAUAAAUCAUUGAUCUAUUGAUCUUGGAUUUGAACACUCUUUCAAAGGCACAUUUUAUUUUCUAAUUUUUAAAGUGUUGAAAGAAAGAGAAAGAAAGGAUGGAGGGAAGAUGGAGGGAGUGAUCAGGAAGAUUCCAAGGCCUGGAAGAAUCAGGCAGGUCCUCCAUGAAUGAGAGGACUCAACUGAGGCUGGUGAGGGGCAGAGCCAAGAUUCAAGGCCAGGCCUGUCCCACUCCUGAGCCGAAGUUCUCAGCCACCAUUUGAAGCUGAAUCUCAAUCCUCCGCUCCGUGGACACAGUUCUAAGAGCCACGUGUGAUGAGUUCAGCAGAUGGAAACCACAGCGUCACCCCACGGAGACAGACGGCGGGGCUAAGAAGGCUGACUCCCCCUGGGUAGGCAAACAAACUGCCCCCCCAACUGCUUCUGCACCAGCCAUGCAGCCUCCCCUCCCCCAGCCCCUAAAUCACUGCCUGGGCCUUUGUUCUUCCCACAGCUGCUCGGCAAAUUCCUUGAUUUAAAAUUAUGAUCACAGGUUGAAGUGCUACUUAAAAUAAUUUUGCCAAAUGUUCC
ensembl:lncRNA